rnacentral:rRNA from 1 species
AACGAACGCUGGCGGCAUGCCUAACACAUGCAAGUCGAACGAGACCUUCGGGUCUAGUGGCGCACGGGUGCGUAACGCGUGGGAACCUGCCCUUAGGUUCGGCAUAACUCCCCGAGAGGGGUGCUAAUACCGGAUAAUGUCUUCGGACCAAAGAUUUAUCGCCUUUGGAUGGGCCCGCGUUGGAUUAGCUAGUUGGUAGGGUAAAAGCCUACCAAGGCGACGAUCCAUAGCUGGUCUGAGAGGAUGAUCAGCCACACUGGGACUGAGACACGGCCCAGACUCCUACGGGAGGCAGCAGUGGGGAAUAUUGGACAAUGGGCGAAAGCCUGAUCCAGCAAUGCCGCGUGAGUGAUGAAGGCCUUAGGGUUGUAAAGCUCUUUUACCCGGGAUGAUAAUGACAGUACCGGGAGAAUAAGCUCCGGCUAACUCCGUG